GCCCAGAGGCAGGGGAGCUGAUGGUGGUCUCAGUUCUGGAGUUCUGGAUCCAGGACCACUCCUGUCUAUGAGAUGGCUCUUGUGCCUCCUCGAAGACCAACAUGGUAGCUUGGACGUUGAGUCAAAUCAGACCCUUCACAGUUCUUGAAAGUUGUUGGGAAAGAGAAGAUGAAAUGCAGACAGAGACGUGACUCUGGAAGAGAAAAGAUGUUCUUGGCGCAGUAAUGAUCUGCCAAUAGCCCUCUUUUCUUAGAGCCCAUGCCUUCCCAACUUCUUCAUCUGAUCUGCU